rnacentral:rRNA from 1 species
UGCGCAGGUGGGGGUGUAAGUCAGUGGUGAAAUGUUGCCGCUCAACGGUAAAAUUGCCAUUGAUACUGCAUCUCUUGAGUAUGGUUGAGGUAGGCGGAAUGUGUUGUGUAGCGGUGAAAUGCAUAGAUAUGACACAGAACACCGAUUGCGAAGGCAGCUUACUAAGCCAUUACUGACGCUGAGGCACGAAAGCGUGGGGAGCGAACAGGAUUAGAUACCCUGGUAGUCC